UUAGAGUUUGAUCCUGGCUCAGGACGAACGCUGGCGGCGCGCCUAACACAUGCAAGUCGAACGAGCGAGAGAGAGCUUGCUUUCUCGAGCGAGUGGCGAACGGGUGAGUAACGCGUGAGGAACCUGCCUCAAAGAGGGGGACAACAGUUGGAAACGACUGCUAAUACCGCAUAAGCCCACGGGUCGGCAUCGACCAGAGGGAAAAGGAGCAAUCCGCUUUGAGAUGGCCUCGCGUCCGAUUAGCUAGUUGGUGAGGUAACGGCCCACCAAGGCGACGAUCGGUAGCCGGACUGAGAGGUUGAACGGCCACAUUGGGACUGAGACACGGCCCAGACUCCUACGGGAGGCAGCAGUGGGGAAUAUUGCACAAUGGGGGAAACCCUGAUGCAGCGACGCCGCGUGGAGGAAGAAGGUCUUCGGAUUGUAAACUCCUGUUGUUGAGGAAGAUAAUGACGGUACUCAACAAGGAAGUGACGGCUAACUACGUGCCAGCAGCCGCGGUAAAACGUAGGUCACAAGCGUUGUCCGGAAUUACUGGGUGUAAAGGGAGCGCAGGCGGGAAGACAAGUUGGAAGUGAAAUCCAUGGGCUCAACCCAUGAACUGCUUUCAAAACUGUUUUUCUUGAGUAGUGCAGAGGUAGGCGGAAUUCCCGGUGUAGCGGUGGAAUGCGUAGAUAUCGGGAGGAACACCAGUGGCGAAGGCGGCCUACUGGGCACCAACUGACGCUGAGGCUCGAAAGUGUGGGUAGCAAACAGGAUUAGAUACCCUGGUAGUCCACACCGUAAACGAUGAUUACUAGGUGUUGGAGGAUUGACCCCUUCAGUGCCGCAGUUAACACAAUAAGUAAUCCACCUGGGGAGUACGACCGCAAGGUUGAAACUCAAAGGAAUUGACGGAAGGGCGAAUUC
rnacentral:rRNA from 1 species